UUCUCAGCCCUCAUGCUAUGUAGAAAAGGA
rnacentral:piRNA from 1 species